rnacentral:rRNA from 1 species
CCUACGGGGGACAGCAGUGAGGAAUAUUGGUCAAUGGGCGAGAGCCUGAACCAGCCAAGUCGCGUGAGGGAGUACUGCCCUAUGGGUUGUAAACCUCUUUUGUCGGGGAGCAAAAGCCGGACGUGUCCGGCUGUGAGAGUACCCGAAGAAAAAGCAUCGGCUAACUCCGUGCCAGCAGCCGCGGUAAUACGGAGGAUGCGGGCGUUAUCCGGAUUUAUUGGGGUUAAAGGGUGCGCAGGCGGAUUUUUAAGUCAGCGGUCAAAUCGUGGGGCUCAACCCCAUCCAGCCGUUGAAACUGGGGAUCUAGAGUGUGCGAGAGGUAUGCGGAAUGCGUGGUGUAGCGGUGAAAUGCAUAGAUAUCACGCAGAACCCCGAUUGCGAAGGCAGCAUACCGGUGCACAACUGACGCUCAGGCACGAAAGCGUGGGUAUCGAACAGGAUUAGAUACCCUGGUAGUC